rnacentral:rRNA from 1 species
UGGGGAAUCUUCCGCAAUGGACGAAAGUCUGACGGAGCAACGCCGCGUGAGUGAUGACGGCCUUCGGGUUGUAAAGCUCUGUUAAUCGGGACGAAUGGUUCUUGUGCGAAUAGUGCAAGGAUUUGACGGUACCGGAAUAGAAAGCCACGGCUAACUACGUGCCAGCAGCCGCGGUAAUACGUAGGUGGCAAGCGUUGUCCGGAAUUAUUGGGCGUAAAGCGCGCGCAGGCGGAUUGGUCAGUCUGUCUUAAAAGUUCGGGGCUUAACCCCGUGAUGGGAUGGAAACUGCCAAUCUAGAGUAUCGGAGAGGAGAGUGGAAUUCCUAGUGUAGCGGUGAAAUGCGUAGAUAUUAGGAAGAACACCAGUGGCGAAGGCGACUUUCUGGACGAAAACUGACGCUGAGGCGCGAAAGCCAGGGGAGCGAACGGG